UACGAAGGGGGCUAGCGUUGUUCGGAAUUACUGGGCGUAAAGCGCGCGCAGGCGGUCUUCCAAGUCGAGUGGUGAAAGCCUGGAGCUCAACUCCAGAACUGCCUUUGAUACUGAGGAUCUUGAGUUCGGGAGAGGUGAGUGGAACUGCGAGUGUAGAGGUGAAAUUCGUAGAUAUUCGCAAGAACACCAGUGGCGAAGGCGGCUCACUGGCCCGAUACUGACGCUGAGGCACGAAAGCGUGGGGAGCAAACAGG
rnacentral:rRNA from 1 species